rnacentral:lncRNA from 1 species
CCAAGCGGUGCAACCCUUAGUACAGGUACUGUACUCGAAUUAUUUUCUAUUUCCAAUUUUUUACUCAUAUUUAGGAAUGUCGUAUGAAUAUCAACAUCACAUUCAAGUAUUAUGAUUAUGUGUAUUUUCGUCAAUUUACGAAAAGAAUCCGUGGAUGUUUUAAUGAGAGAAACUUUUAGAAUGUUUUUUUUUUCUCUUUCUGCCACAUAUUCUCUCUUACUCACCCUCCCUCUCGCGCUCGCUCUCUCUCUCCUCCUCUAUCUUUCCCAGCUCUAUCUUAUUCUUUAUUUCUCUCUCAACAACCAAAUUACAUUAAAUUAGCUUCAAAAUUAUCAUUACUUUGACCUAUACUCUCUUUUUUACUCUUUUACUUGUUUCAGUCAUUUGACUGCGGCCAUGCUGGAACACCGCCUUUAGUCGAGCAACUCGACCCCGGGACUUAUUCGUUGUAAGCCCAGUACUUAUUCUAUCGGUCUCUUUUUGCCGAACCACUAAGUGACGGGGACAUAAACACACCAGCAUCGGUUGUCAAGCAAUGCUAGGGGGACAGACACAGACACACAAACAUACACGCACACACAUAUAUAUAUAUACAUAUAUACGACGGGCUUCUUUCAGUUUACGUCUACCAAAUCUACUCACAAGGCUUUGGUUGGCCCGAGGCUAUAGUAGAAGACACUUGCCCAAGAUGCCACGCAGUGGGACUGAACGUGGAACCAUGUGGCUGGUAGGCAAGAUACUUACCACACAGCCACUCCUGCGCAAGCUACUUACCACACAGCCACUCCUGCGCCUAUAUAUCAUAUAUUACUUUAAUAUAUCCUACGCGUUCUCAACAUUGUCAGUAAAAUAAUAUACUAUCGGAGGUGCAAUUGCUAGAAGCUGAAUGCGACAUUCCCGGCACGAAAAACCUUCAGCGACCGGAUUAGCAAAUAGUUUCGCGGGAAUUGCCUGGUGAAAGACUAGCUGGUAGGCUUCAAGGGAUCACCAGGGAAGACAUCACAUACAAAGUUUAAAUAUCAAGGACGAUACGAAACACGAAAAUUGUGUUGCCAGUACUAAAUGGAUAUAUUUAAACACGAGAAAACGAAAAUGGCUAUCUACAAAAUUAUUCCGAAUAUUUCUCGCUAAUUAUUCUUAUAUAUAUAUAUAUAUCUGUGUGUGUGUGUAUGUAUGUAUAUAUAUAUACAGUUCAUACCGUCCUGUUUUCUCUGACUUAAGUUUCCUGGUGUAGGUGCUGUCCUUUAUUCACCCACCUGUUUCCGUAUUUCCUAUUUCUUUCAUUCAUCCUUUUGUGAUGCUUCAUGAAUUUUUAAGUUUUAGUAUAUCCAUGUUCAAAUACAUGUCUUUUUCGUCCGGAAUGGUCGUCAAUACGAGGAAUGUAACCAUUCUCUCAUAACGCGAGGCAGGACUGAAAAUGCAUAGAAUUCUCAUAUUCAAUUUGCUUUUAACUAUUGCAAUUGGCGAACCGCUAAGUUAUUUUAUCGAUCUUCUUUGGCGAACCACUAGAUUAUUUUAUCGAUCUCCUUUGGCGAACCGCUAAGUUAUUUUAUCGAUCACGCUUGGCGAACCGCUAAGUUAUUUUAUCGAUCUCGAUUGGUGAACCGCUAAGCUAUUUUAUCGAUAUCCUUUGGUGAACAGCUAAUUUAUUUAUCGAUCAACUUUGGCGAACCGGUAAGUUAUACUAUUGAUAACGUUUGGCGAACUGCUAAGCUAUUUUUCGAUCCCUUAUGGCGAACCGCUACGUUAUUUUAUCGUUCACAUUCAGCGAACCACUGGGUUAUUUUAUCGAUCUCCUUUGGCGCUUAUUCGUUCAUUCCACUCUUCGUUCUUUCUUUCACCCUCUCUCACAUUUCUUUGCCUUCUUUUCUUACUCACUUUUCACUUCACUAUGUCCCUGUCAUUCUUUUCGUCUCUCCUUAAUUCUUCUGUCCAUCCGCUUCUGCAACUCUCUCUCUCUCUCUCUCUUCUCUUCUCCUUCCUUCAUUCUUUUGUUCCCCUUUUUCUCUCUCUUCUCUUCCCACGUGACCGACACACCAGACUGUUAGCUCUCUCUUUUUGAGUCUGACCGUGGUCAUGGCAACAUCGAUAUUCCUCUCUGUGUUUGUGAAAUCUAGUAUGCCUGCCGUAAGGCUUCAUUUCCACACACGCCAGCUUAAUUCAAUUCCUUCCCAGUCGAAAGACACCUGUUAUAUCCUGUUAUUAUUAUUAUUAUUAUUAUUAUUAUUAUUAUUAUUAUUAUUAUUAUUAUUAUUGUUAUUGUUAUUGUUAUUAUUAUUAUUAUUAUUAUUAUUAUUAUUAUUAUUAUUAUUAUUGAGUGAGCGAGCAGAGCAUGCCAUCAAAGUGACACUGGGGUAAAAUAUACGAAGCCCAGUAUACCCAUCAUGACUACCCGUCUGAUAAGGGUACACCAGGCACAUGCAUCACAACCAUAUGUGCGCGACAUGGUGAUCUCAUAUCAAGAUAAACAGCACAUGACCUUGCAGGUGGAGCCCAGUUAGAAUUUUCUUCAGAUCGAGUAACCCAUCCCGCUCAAAAGGUCCCUGAAUAAGGGUUGUUUAAGGACGUUGAACGAAACACCCAUGUUUCCAGAGGUGAUUUAUUCAAACCCCAAAGAAUCCUUCUCAACACAUGGUUAUGAUGCUCCCCCACUACUUCUGCUCGUGAUCAGAGAUGCACAUAUCGUCAGCCACUAAGGGACAUGCUCAACUGGUUACGGUCAAACAACUGACAAGCAAAUCUGUGGUAUUGAGCAGAAUAUUUGCUGUAGCCCAUCUUUUAUACCAAGACAAAACAAUGUACAUGAUAACACUUCCAAUCAGUUAAGAUCAGAAGCCAUGAGAGCUACUGCCUGGUACUGCAUCAGGGCAUUUAUUAUUAUUAUUAUUAUUAUUAUUAUUAUUAUUAUUAUUAUUACUUUUUUUUUCUUCUUUCAAAUUUGCUUCCAUUUCUUGCCGAGUGUCUUCCCGACUCCUAGGGCAAAGAAACUCAUAGCAUACAUUGGUAGGCCAUUAAACCAAACUCAAUAGUUCGUUCAUUUUUUUUUUUUUUUUUUAAAGUUAAAUUAAAAUACAUGAGCAGCAACAGUUCUCACAUCGACAAUGCUCUUCUCAAUACGUGUGAUGUACCAGUUAAGACAAUCUUUUGCACUUCUUGCAGGGAUGGUAAGCCAGGGAUCAUUCUCAUAUAAUUUUCGGUUCCCUUCUUGAUCAUUCCUAGUGCUCCUACGAUCACUGGUAUUGUAACCGCCUUGAGAUGCCACAUUUUCUCAAUUUCAAUGAGUAGGUCUUUAUAUUUUCUGAGCUUGUCAAACUCUUUCGCUGAGAUAUUAUGAUCACAGGGGAUGCUUAUUAUUAUUAUUAUUAUUAUUAUUAUUAUUAUUAUUAUUAUUAUUAUUAUUAUCAUUAUUAUUAUUGUUGUUAUUUUUAUUGUAUUUUGUAUUUAUAUUUGUGUAACGUUGUCUGUUUUUCCGUCCUUGUUUUCGUAUACAUUCGAUGCUUUCUUCCAAGGAAUCUAAUGCUCUUUGCUUAGUUUUUCCUUGGGACUGGCUGGAUUAGAGCAAUCUCAAAAUUAAUCAGCCGAAAUUGCGAGGAUGAUCCGGUUCUUGACUGAGGAUAGAAAGCUAUGAGUGACCCGUCCUUGUUAUUUUGUAUCGUCUAUCUGGAUGUUUUGUUCUUCCUUUUUCUAUCACCUAGUUGUCCGGAUAUUUUGCGUUCUUGUCCCAUUUUGUAUUAUAUAUAUAUAGCGACGUACGUACACUUUGUUCUCUUUUAUAUAUAUAUAUAUAUAUAUAUAUAUAUAUAUAUAUAUAUAUAUAUAUAUAUACAUACAUACAUACAUACAUACAUACAUACAUACAUACAUACAUACAUACAUACAUACAUACAUAUAUAAGCACACUUUCUUAUUGUUGAUGGGUGCUUAAUAUUUGACACAUUUCCGUUCAUGGAAAUCAUAAUCAUGUAUAAUUAAUAUUUGGUAAAUGUAUUUCGUGUUUUUGUACAAAUUUUUGUUGAUUUAACUCCCAAAAUAACGGGUAAUAUUUCACACAGCUUUCUGAAAUAAAAUAUUUACAAACCACACUCUUUUUGUCUUUACAGAAAAUACAAGAAAUAUUUCUCUCACUUAGAAAGCUGUCUUCACAGUUUCAAACAAUAUUUCCAAGAAUUUGGAGGAAAAUAAGAAAAUGGAGCCAAAUAAUAGUGCCAAUGUUUGUACUAGAAUUUUAGAAGAAACAAAUAUUAAAAUGGUGAAUGUUUAUUUUCCAGUAAUAGUGUAUCUCGGAAUUGCAAUGAUACUUGGAUCAAUUGGAAAUUGCUUUGUAUCAUAUAUAUACUAUUAUAAAUUUGAUGAGACAGCUACGCAUAUAUUCACUGUAGCACUCUCCAUAUGUGAUUUUCUAACUUGCGUAAUAUGUAUACCUAUGGACAUUAUAGUUCUAUAUUUUCCCUACACUUUUCACAGUGAUACUGCAUGCCGUGUUAUACGUUAUGCGGUAGCUAUAGCAAUAAUCAACUCGGCUUUGAUUGUGUUCAUUAUAGCAGUUGAUAGAUACAUUCUCAUAUGUCGACCUCUUAAGCAAAAUAUUUCCGUUAAAAACUCAAAAAAAAUUCUAGUAUUUUUAACAAUGUGCGCAUUAGUUCUUUGUAUGCCAGCAUUUUUUGUACACAGCAGACAAAACAAAAUGGUGGGACAAUGUGGAAAUAUUGGAGAAAUGUGUUCACUUUCUCCCUAUAUAAAUGGCACAAUGUAUCCUUUAGUUUAUUAUACUUUCGGAUUGACAGCUUCCUCUGGUGUAUUUAUAACUUUUGUGGUUAUAUACUUAUUAAUUGGAAUGCGCAUUUGGAAAAUUUACAAAGCGAAGAAAAAAAGAGCAAAUCAUGAAGUUUACACAACUUGUACCAUUUCCAAAUCUGAAAUUCUUUUUGCCGAUACUAGUUCUUCAGAGAAGCGAUCUACCUCUUUUGCGCGUCUUAAAAAACGAUCAAUGCCACCAGCUCGGUCUAGUUUAAUAUUUUUCAUCAUCACUUUGGUCUGGAUUAUCGCUUAUAUACCACAUUUCGGCGGAGUAUUCUGGAGGUUGUUUGUUAAAGAUUUUGAUGACGUUUCAAGUGAUAAAGAUCUAGUGAUUAACAAGUUUUUGUCCUAUUCUUUUUAUCUCAGCCCUGCUCUUCACCCAUACAUCUAUGGACUCUUCAGUCGACAGUUUCGUAAUGAAUUGCUGGUCUCAUUUCGCAAAAUUUCCCAACCAUGUAAAGAAAAAAAUAUCGAAACUCGUUGAAUUCACCACCAUAUAACCAUUCAUAUGUGAAAUAUGUCACCCAAAAUGAACACUACAAGUUCUUCCCAGUUUAAAAUAUAUAGAAGCUAAGAAGUUUUUUCUUUUUCUUUUUUUUUUUCAUCUUUCACUUGAACACGAUUCGCCAUAUAAAAGAAUUUUACUUCAACAUUUAAGAGUUAUUAUAAAAGAAAUAAAACGUUCAGAAUAUGAACUAGUUAAACUACACUGAACUAAUUAAAGGGUAUUUGGUGAGUACUGCGUGUCUGCAUAUACAUAUGUGCGUGUGUGCUUGUGUGUGUGUGUGUGUGUGUAUAUGUGCGCGCGCAUGUAUUUAUCCAUAGAACAUUGAAUUAAACAAUAAACUUUGUUGCUCCCAUGAACAGCGAUGAAGCCACUUAAUAGAUGAUAUCUUUAACCAAAUGACGUGCAAGAAAUAGUAGCCGAAUUGAUUUCAGACUGCACCGUAACAUCUUUAAAGAACAAAGUACACAUUGUGAAUGAAGUUUGCGAUUUAAUCAGACAAGGAAAUGAAAUAGUAAUGAGAUUCUCAUAACGAAAGGGUAACUACUCAUGUUCAGUCUAUAUUGCUUCCAGCUAUGCACAUUUCAGAAAAGAAGCAAGGAGGUACCUUCACACACAUACACAGACACACACACACACACACACACACACACACACAGUACACGGAUGCACGAGGCGCGUCACAUCUCAUGAGGCAUCCUUACUCACCUGGUAUCUUUAAAUUGCCAAAUCUGCUACCGUGAGAAAAUGAGCACAUUUCGCAAUGUCUGCGCUGCCUGGAGAAAUAUCCGUUAUAAGAACCCUACGUUGCUGAAACAUCACUCCUUGCAACACGCCGAUUAACUUAAGCUAACAUUCUGACUACCCUAUCACGUAAGUUAUUUAAUGAAGAAGCAAGAGAUGCUGCUAAAAUAGUUAAAACAAAGACGUUACUUCAACUGACGCAAUAAACGCUCUCA